AUUGAACGCUGGCGGCAGGCCUAACACAUGCAAGUCGAACGAGUGGCGAGCGGGUGAGUAAUGUGUGGGAAAGUGCCAGGUGGUGGGGGAUAACUACUGGAAAGGAUAGCUAAUACAGCAAAAUAUGAGAUGUGCCGAUAUGGGAUUAGCUAAUAGGUGGGGUAAAGGCUCACCUAGGAGACGAUCCAUAGCUGGUCUGAGAGGAUGACCCGCCACACUGGAACUGAGACACGGUCCAGACUCCUACGGGAGGCAGCAGUGGGGAAUAUUGCACAAUGGGCGCAAGCCUGAUGCAGCCAUGCCGCGUGUAUGAAGAAGGCCUUCGGGUUGUAAAGUACUUUCAGCGGGGAGGCGUUACCCGAAGAAGAAGCACCGGCUAACUCCGUGCCAGCAGCCGCGGUAAUAC
rnacentral:rRNA from 1 species